rnacentral:rRNA from 1 species
CCAUCCAUCCAUCCAUCCUUGUCUGACAUUAAGCAGGGUUGGGCCUGGUUAGUGCUUGGAUGGGAGACUACCCGGGAUAAUCUCAGUGGUGGCUCCA